rnacentral:lncRNA from 1 species
CCCCGAUAUGAAAAUGUAAAACAAUUCAAACGAGAAAAACUAACGGCCUUAUUUAUAUAAAAAAAUGAACGAAAAAUAAAUAUGUGAGUCAAUUCUCCAUCCAGGUCACAAUUUAUAAAAGAAAACCAUAACACCUGUUAAUUUAGUUGUUGUAUCAUUGUUUUUGAUUUCUGUUUUUCUGUUUAUUAAUUUAAAGUGAGUUGCAAGGCCCCCCCCC